rnacentral:rRNA from 1 species
UACGAAGGAUGCAAGCGUUAUCCGGAUUCAUUGGGUUUAAAGGGCGCGUAGGUGGACUGAUAAGUCAGUGGUGAAAUCUUUGGGCUUAACCCAAAAAUUGCCAUUGAUACUGUUGGUCUUGAGUAUAGUUGCCGUUGGCGGAAUAUGACAUGUAGUGGUGAAAUACAUAGAGAUGUCAUAGAACACCGAUUGCGAAGGCAGCUGACGAAACUAUAACUGACACUGAGGCUCGAAAGUGUGGGGAUCAAACAGG